rnacentral:rRNA from 1 species
GUGCCAGCAGCCGCGGUAAUACGGAGGGUGCAAGCGUUGUUCGGAUUUAUUGGGCGUAAAGCGCGUGUAGGCGGUUUUCUAAGUCUGAUGUGAAAGCCCCGGGCUCAACCCGGGAAGUGCAUUGGAUACUGGAAGACUUGAAUACGGGAGAGGGUAGUGGAAUUCCUAGUGUAGGAGUGAAAUCCGUAGAUAUUAGGAGGAACACCGGUGGCGAAGGCGGCUACCUGGACCGAUAUUGACGCUGAGACGCGAAAGCGUGGGGAUCAAACAGGAUUAGAUACCCUUGUAGUCC